AUUGAACGCUGGCGGAAUGCUUUACACAUGCAAGUCGAACGGCAGCACGGGGGCAACCCUGGUGGCGAGUGGCGAACGGGUGAGUAAUACAUCGGAACGUGCCCAAUCGUGGGGGAUAACGUAGCGAAAGCUACGCUAAUACCGCAUACGAUCUACGGAUGAAAGCGGGGGAUCGCAAGACCUCGCGCGAAUGGAGCGGCCGAUGGCAGAUUAGGUAGUUGGUGGGGUAAAAGGCUCACCAAGCCAACGAUCUGUAGCUGGUCUGAGAGGACGACCAGCCACACUGGGACUGAGACACGGCCCAGACUCCUACGGGAGGCAGCAGUGGGGAAUUUUGGACAAUGGGCGAAAGCCUGAUCCAGCCAUUCCGCGUGCAGGAUGAAGGCCUCGGUUGUAACGUAGCUUUGGUACGGAACGAAACGGACGAGCUCUAAUACAGUUUGCUAAUGACGGUACCGUAAGAAUAAGACACCGGCUAACUACGUAGCCAGC
rnacentral:rRNA from 1 species